GGACGGCGUGGCCAGCGGCGGGGGUAAUGCAGGGGGAGCAGUCGGUGUUCUGAGUUACUGGGCGUAAAGGGGGCGUAGGCGGCCGUCGGAAGUCAGUUGUGAAAGCUCUGGGCUUAACCCAGAAAGGUCAACUGAUACUGCGGGGCUAGAGUGCAGAAGGGGCAACUGGAAUUCUCGGUGUAGCGGUGAAAUGCGUAGAUAUCGAGAGGAACACCUGCGGCGAAGGCGGGUUGCUGGGCUGACACUGACGCUGAUGCGCGAAAGCUAGGGGAGCGAACGGGAUUAGAUACCCGUGUAGUC
rnacentral:rRNA from 1 species